GAUGUCAGUAGAAAAAAUUGAGGCUUGCUGGUGGAGGGAGCUGAGCAUGGCUCAAUCACUAUUACCAGCAGUAGAAGUUUUGAUUUAAGGGAUC
ensembl:miRNA gga-mir-1654 gga-mir-1654